rnacentral:lncRNA from 12 species
GUGGGAAUUACACCCCUGUUACAGAAAUCCAAAAUCUCGGGGGGGGUUUUCCACCUGGCUGGGAAUUCACAGGUGAGCUGGCACUGGAAGCACCUGUCGGAGCUGGACCAGCUGUGGAUGCUGAAGUGAGGUGAGCUGGCACUGGAAGCACCUCUCGGAGCUGGACCAGCUGUGGAUGCUGAAGUGCCUGCGUUUCGGGUGGCUCAUCAACUUCUGCCCCACGCCGCUGGAGCAGGGCGUCUGGAAGCGGCACUACGUCGAGACGGUGCGCGAGCUGCGCCUCGCCGCGCCCCAGACUCCUUCCAAGGACGAGUUCAUCGUUAUCGAUGUGCAGCCAGUAAAAAACAAUGUCCCAGAGAGGAAACUCCCCGUGGGGACAACCAGGGGGAGAAAAGAGCUGCGUCCCUGGCGUCCCUCUGACAGGAACCCCACGGACACCAUCCGCUACAACUACCUGGACAACUACGACCCCAUCGAGCAGGCCAGGCAGGCGAGGAGGAAGGGAGGAGGGCACACCCCGGACCUGAGCAGGCAGGCGGCUGAGAGGAAGAAGAGAGGGGGUUGUGGAUCCACGCAGCUCCGGAAGGUGAAAUCCCUGGCAAGUGUCCCCAGUGUGUGAUCCCAGCACUUGGGGUGUUGUCAGGAUGUUGGAAUUUGGAGAUUUUCCUUCAGGGAAGUGCUGCUGAGAGGAGGGGAGGAGCGGGACACAAAAUCUCUCUGUGGCUGCAUCGUAGACAUUGCUGUGGUGGGGAAGGGACAGCGCUGUCAGUGCGGAAAGUGACCCCGUUCCUUCCUGUUGUUUAUUGCUCCUCCCUCUCCUUACCACCCCAAAAAUCCCUUCCCAUGCUUUUCACAAAGUGCUACCACUUUUCUUCUAUGACUCUUGCAUCCCCCCCUAAAAUUUUACAACUUUGGGUCGCCGCGUGUCGCUAUACGCGGAGAGAAGCGUAUAAUAACGACAAAAAACUUCUUAAACAAGAGAAGCAAAAGAAGUGUUUUAUUGAAAAACCAAACCAUAUUUAUAGAGUGGUUCACAAGCCUCAAACAGGACAGUAGCUCAUUGGACAAUAGGAGAAAACAUGUCCUGUCACUUACAUCACAAACUAUCCCUCAGUCAAUACCAGGUGUUAAUCUCUGUUUAUUAAUUCCUUUUUAUUUACAAGAAAGUUAUCACCCUGGGAAAGGCUCAGGCCAGAGCUGAGAAACUCUCUCAGCCUGGGGAAAAAACCUCCCAGCCUGAGAAAGAGAAAAAAGAACUCAGAACCUGAGAAAAGGCCUGGCUAAAAUCUGCCUAGGCCUUCAGCAGUGUCCACAGCCGCGCUUUGACGUUCGUCCGUUCUCGGAGCGAAGCAGCCCCAAACCUUCACACUGAAGGCUCUUUGUGCUCAGGGCUGCUAAAAUAGGGCAUCCUCCCAUGAGAGGAGCCCAGGGAAGUCAUUCCAGAAAGCUCCACGGGUUUUUGUGGCUCUGGAAAACAAAGGGCUGCCAGGAGAAGGCCGUGCUCACCAGCGUGUCGGGGUUCUGGGAGCAGAUGCGGUGCUCCCUGAAAAAACAGUGGCACAAAACAGAGGCUUUGUCUCCCAGAUGGGGAAAUAUCCCCCUGACCCAAAUACAGCCCCUGUCUGCAAGGAAAUUGGUUCUGGCACCGUUGGGGAACAGAAAAUAUCACGGUUCAGCCUCUUGUCUUACGCUUGGCGCUCCCUGGAGGAUCGGUGUCCUCGCAGGGGUUCAGCCCACCACAACUUCCCA